CUGGUUUGGAGGGGACCCCCGGGUUUUGCUGUUCUUUGAAUCCUCUACCCAUCUGAGAAGGUAACAGUGAGACAUACCAUCUGCAGCACACACAGCAGCUAUUGGACGCUACUACUGACAGUUUGCACUACAGUUUUUGGUGAGCAAGAAGCCAGGUAUAGUGUACAGUGGAGAUUAAUAUACCCAGGGCACUCAAUUUCACAGUCUGGUCCCUCAGCCACCUCCCCCCACCAAACACCCUUUUCCAAUUGUCUUUGAGUUCUGGGCUCACUUUUGACAUAGUCUUUUGGACACAUUUUGCUGGGGAUGGAAGAUCAGUAAAUGGAACCUUUGAAAACUAAUCAUUUUGCUCCUAUGUGACUUGAAAAAAAUAAACAGAAAAAGAAGAAUCCAAGUCCAUCUGGAGGAAUUUUUAAUUUCCUUUGGAGAAGUUUUAGGAGGGACCAUCCAAAAGCUGGUGAAUGUGGAGCUCAAAGGGAAGAGUGAAGUGAUAUAUAUGGGGACGAAAGUGCCUGUGGAUGAAGACACACCUCCCUCCCAUGUAACAGAUUGGACGUCUGUUGAAAUUCAUUGUCUCUUUAUACUCCUGUGACUCUUCUUGUCUUCCCCAAAAGCCUCUGUGAAAGUAACACAUAUAAGUCUUUUGUCCCUCUCCUUCACAUAAGCAAACCUUUCCCAACCCCACUCAUGUGUCCUGAGAGCUAAGAUCUAUACUGCGUUCGAUAAAUAUGAAUCUCCUUUAAUCCUAGCAUGAGGGACCUGUGCUUUUGAAGCAGGAGGAUCUAUGCUUUGUCCCUGCUGCUCCCAUGAAGAUGCAAGUAGCCCUGGUGUGAAGCCCUAGCUAGCCAUGGAUUUGAUACAAUAUGAUUAUGCACAUACCCUGUAGUUCAUGUUCCUUGCCCUCGUAUGUUUCAUAUGUUGUAUAGUGUACUGUGGUAAGGAACUUAUUGAUAUGUACAGGAUGCAGACUACUUAGUCAAGAUAUUAUAUAGCUUUUUUAUUCCCCCCCCCACCCCAAAGCAAGUCAAUGGCUCCAGCUACACACAGCUAGCUAGUCUCCAGGACGUAAGUGGCAAAGCUGUGCUUUUUUUUUUAAUUUCCCCACUCCUAAAAGUCAUACUUGUUCUGAUUAAUUUAUUUUCUCUGCAUUAUUGUAACAAAUGGCUUUAAUGACAUUUCAUUAUGCAUAUAAUGCCUUAAGUGCUUUAUACAACGAAGAACUGUUUUUCUUGCUAGAGCUUUGAAUUUCUACUUGCAGGAGUUCUGCAAGCUGUAAUCAUUUUUGAAUUUGUUCUUGAAUAGCUUUUAAAAUUUAUUCUUUCAUGAAACAAAACAGUACUUCUGGCCUGAGAUCAUCCUGUCAACCUGGCAGAGUCAAAAUAGGGGAAGGAGCACCAUAAGGCCAACACAUCACUCUCUUUGUGGGCUGGUAAGGGUCAGGGAUUCAGGCAGUAUCUCAAUCUAAGGCUUAUUAAAUGGCUUAUGCUUAAACCAUUCUCUUCUUCUCAGUCCCAUUCCCCACAACCUACUCUCAAAACCCCUUGUCCCCUUGAUAAGGAC
rnacentral:lncRNA from 1 species